GCUCUGGUGGAUUAGUGGUUAGAGCGUCCGUGUCGGAUGCGUGAGAUCGCGGGUUCGAAUCCCAGCCGAGACA